GGCGAUGUGGCGGAACUGGAAGACGCGGAAGUUAUGGGAUGCGGUCAUGUUCGUGACCCAAACAGCGAUUUUCCUGAGGGGACUUUUGAUGGAACAUCACUGCAGGUUCAAAUCCUGCCAUCGCCA
rnacentral:tRNA from 1 species